rnacentral:rRNA from 1 species
CUUGACUUGCGUCUUGAGUGUGUACUUGUUAAGCCUUAUAAGAAAAAAGUUAUUAACUUAAGGAAUUAUAACAAAGAAGUAACACGUAAUGGAUUUAUCCAUUUUUAGUGUGUAUCAAUCGAGUUUCUGACCUAUCAGCUUUUGAUGUUAGGGUAUUGGCCUAACAUGGCUAUGACGGGUAACGGGGAAUUAGAGUUCGAUUCCGGAGAGGGAGCCUGAGAAAUAGCUACCACAUCUAAGGAAGGCAGCAGGCGCGUAAAUUACCCAAUUCUAAAGAAGAGAGGUAGUGACAAGAAAUAACAAUACAAGGCCAAUCUGGCUUUGUAAUUGGAAUGAUGGGAAUUUAAAACCUUCCCAAAAUACAAUUGGAGGGCAAGUCUGGUGCCAGCAGCCGCGGUAAUUCCAGCUCCAAUAGCGUAUAUUAAAAUUGUUGCAGUUAAAACGCUCGUAGUUGAAUUUCAAAGGAUCGAUAUUUUAAGUAACGCUUUUAGCUAUAAAUCCACAUGACAGACACUUCCGCGUGUCGACUUUGUGCGCAUUUUCGCUAUUAUGUGUUCUUUUAAUUAAAAUGAUUCUUUUUAAGAUUCAUCUACUAAUAAUUUGCUUCUGCAUAAUUUUUUUUGGAGAUCUUGUUACUUUGAGUAAAUUAGAGUGUUCAAAGCAAACAGAUAUAGCAUUUGUGCGUUUGAAUACUACAGCAUGGAAUAACAAAAUUGAACAAGUCAAAAUUUUUUUGUUCUUUUUUCUUAUUUUGGCUUAGUUACGAUUAAUAGGAGUAGCUUGGGGGCAUUUGUAUUCAGAUGUCAGAGGUGAAAUUCUUAGAUUUUCUGGAGACAAACAACUGCGAAAGCAUUUGCCUAAAAUACUUCCAUUAAUCAAGAACGAAAGUUAAGGGAGUGAAGACGAUCAGAUACCGUCGUAAUCUUAACCAUAAACUAUGCCGACUAGGC